CAGGUGCGGGGAAGAUGGUAAUCCGUUGGUUUUGGAAACCUAAGACACCCGGUUCGAUUCCGGGGCACCUGAC
rnacentral:tRNA from 7 species